CGCUUCUCCCUGACUCGCGGCAGCAGCUCAGACUGCCGGAGCGGGAUGGAGCCAAGCUGGACGGAGGCGGGGCUAAGACGAGGAUCCUUCGGGAGCUCUGAGGCAGGGCCCUACCCGGGGUGUGGCGGGACUGGAAACGAGCACUUUCUCCCUGGAUACUGCCAGAAGCGGAGCCCGAGAGAACGAGCAGGAGAGGGGCAGGAGACUGAGACUUGGGACGAAACCAAGAAUUGGAUGCUUAACCGACUGAGCCACCCAGAUAUUUCCCUCCUCACUCAUCUAGAUGCUGCUAGAUGGUUCUUCUGGAAGUCAAAGUCUAACAAAAACAGAACAUCUGAUAUAUUUAUGCCUUGCCUUAUGGGACAGAUUCAUCAGUAGAACUGUCAAGGAAGCAAUGAGGGAAAUAGCUAUAUUGAACUCAAUUUAAACCAGCAAAUAUCUAGUUGAUGAUUUACAAGUGACAAAAAUCCUGGGAAAAAGGAGUGAUGUCUGCUGGAGUUAGUAGCUGGCCGGGCACAGUGCUGGACUCUGGAUGAAGAGUGAUGCAUGCAGGCACAGCCCUUCCUUCACAGUGCUCGUCUGUCAUUACUAGGAACAAACACAAAACUGUACAAAUCUGAAUGAAGCAGUGGUGUCGACUCAUGUCCAGGUGACUUUUUUAUUUUUAUUUUUUAUUUUUUUUAAUUUUUUACUUUAGAAAGGAAGAGAGAGUGUGUGAGCAGGGGAGAGGAGCAGAGGGAGGGAGGGAAAGAGAGAGAGAAUCUCAAGCAGGCUGCACGCUCAGUGCGGUUCCCAAUGCAGAGUCCCAUGACCCUGGGAUCAUGACCUGAGCCGAAAUUAAGAGUCAGAUGCUCAGCUGACUAAGCAACCCAGGCGCCCCUCCAAUUGCAUUUUUUAAAUUUGAAUUUAUGAUUCUAACAUUUUAUUUGUCAACAUAGUUAUGGGAUUCAAAAUGCAAAACAUAUGAAAAGGAAUGUAAUAGAAAUUAUCACCUCUGUUCCCCAACCACUUAAUACCCAUCCCUAUGAGCAACCUGUGUCACUGAUUUCUUGCAAAUCCUCCUAGGGAAAAUUUUUUGCAUAUGCAAUCAAUUGAAAUAAUAUAUUUUAUCAAACCUAGGAUGCCAUUAAUUGCAUAUAAGAUGCAAAUAUUAUGUUUAUACUGUAUACACUAUUUAUUAUACAUACUAUAAAUAUGGUAUAUUAUUAUAAUACUACAAAAGAUUUUUUAAAGCCCUGCCAAUUAAACUGUGUCUUGUUGUUGAUUGUACAAUGAAUUCUAAUUUCAAAGACAUCAAAAAUGUGAAAACCUGUGCAUUUUAGAACCAAUGAAAUAUGGUCUAUAUAUUUUUUAAAAUUUUACACAAAAGAUAGUAGCCUACAUUUAUUAUUUGUACCAUGCUUGCUUCACUUAACAAUAUUUCCUGGAGCUUAUUUCGUAUCAAUAUCUAAGGCAUUUUGUUCUCGUUUUUAAUGUGGGAGCACUGUGAAAAGUAGUCUUUAAUGAGUAUGUCCUAUGUCAGAAAGUGAAAAGGGAAAGAACAGGACACUCUUUGGAAAAGAUCACGAAUAAGCUGCAGAGGACUGGAGAAGAAAACCCAGUGAUGCUUAUUGUGUUUCUUCUCCAUGGAUAAAGAUAUUCAAAUUGGAAAGCGUGGAACAAAUAUCAUGAAGAAAGACUUAAGUUUGCCAUAAAAGAAAAAAAAACCUCUAAGAUGAUAUUGAGUCCUUUUACAGAAGUUAAAGUCUCUGAGUGUGCACAAAGACAAAUCACAACUAAACACAGAUGUAACAACACACAGAUGUAACAAAAUCCUUCUUGGGAAUUACUGUGAAAUACAGAAGGAAAGAAGAGGUGACUGGGGAUGGUAUGAAAGGUGUUUACAAAAGGCAAAAAUGUAGAUUAUGCUAUAUACAGAUUUGUAAAGUUUCUCAUUCACAAAACUUCUAUAAUAUAUUAUUAAAAAGAUAGUUUAGGGGUUCCUGGGUGGCUCAAUCGGUUAAGUGUCCAACUUUGGCUCAGGUCAUGAUCUUGUGGUUCACAGGUUCAAGCCCCACAUUGGGCUCUGUGCUGACAGCCCAGAGCCUGGAGCCUCUUCAGAUUCUAUGUCUCCCUCUCUCUCUGCCCCUCCCCCGCUCACAUUCUGUCUCUCUCAAAAAAAAUAGAUAUUAAAAAAAAUGUUUUUAAUAAAAAGAUAGUUCGUUAGCAUUUAAAAAGUAAAAAUGUCAUACUUUUUUUUUUGUAAUUUAAAGAAAAAGAGGUAAUUAGGAAGCCCCAGAAUAGGUUCGCUGGAAAUUUUAUGCCUAGCUUAUGCCAUCUAGGUGUCUAAAGUGAUGGCUUACUUUGCCAGCGAACUAAAUGGUCAUACCCUGUCAACAGUCAGGUGACUGUUCCCUUCACCUGUGCCCUGAGUGACCUAUAAAGAACAACAAACGUGCAUUGUGUGUCAACCACACUCAAACAAAAAAAGAUUCUCCCCCUCAAAAAAGAAAAGAACAACAAGCAUAACCCGGGGAAAAAAGGAACUCGAUUCAAAUCCUGUCUCUGACACUGCAUAGUGACCUUGGGCAUGUCACUUCAUCUUACUUUUCUUUCUCUAAAAUGAAGAGAUUACAUUUAUUAUUUCCUAA